AGUGAACGCUGGCGGUAGGCCUAACACAUGCAAGUCGAACGGCAGCACAGUAAGAGCUUGCUCUUACGGGUGGCGAGUGGCGGACGGGUGAGGAAUACAUCGGAAUCUACUUUUUCGUGGGGGAUAACGUAGGGAAACUUACGCUAAUACCGCAUACGACCUACGGGUGAAAGCAGGGGAUCUUCGGACCUUGCGCGAUUGAAUGAGCCGAUGUCGGAUUAGCUAGUUGGCGGGGUAAAGGCCCACCAAGGCGACGAUCCGUAGCUGGUCUGAGAGGAUGAUCAGCCACACCGGAACUGAGACACGGUCCAGACUCCUACGGGAGGCAGCAGUGGGGAGUAUUGGACAAUGGGCGCAAGCCUGAUCCAGCCAUACCGCGUGGGUGAAGAAGGCCUUCGGGUUGUAAAGCCCUUUUGUUGGGAAAGAAAAGCAGCAGGUUAAUACCCCGCUGUUCUGACGGUACCCAAAGAAUAAGCACCGGCUAACUUCGUG
rnacentral:rRNA from 1 species